rnacentral:rRNA from 1 species
CCUCCAGACUCCUACGGGAGGCAGCAGUGGGGAAUAUUGGGCAAUGGAGGCAACUCUUACCCAGCAAUGCCGCGUGAAUGAAGAAGGUCUUCGGAUUGUAAAGUUCUUUAAUUGGGGACGAAAAAAAUGACGGUACCCAAGGAAUAAGCCCCGGCUAACUACGUGCCAGCAGCCGCGGUAAUACGUAGGGGGCAAGCGUUAUCCGGAUUUACUGGGUGUAAAGGGAGCGUAGACGGCAGUGCAAGUCCGGAGUGAAAGCCCGGGGCUCAACCCUGGGACUGCUCUGGAAACUGUAGAGCUGGAGUGCGGGAGGGGCAGGCGGAAUUCCUGGUGUAGCGGUGAAAUGCGUAGAUAUCAGGAGGAACACCGGCGGCGAAGGCGGCCUGCUGGACCGUAACUGACGUUGAGGCUCGAAAGCGUGGGGAGCAAACAGGAUUAGAUACCCUAGUAC